UUUGAUUUCGCUGGAAGACGAAAAAAGUGAUAGGGCCGAGUGAGAGAAAAAAGAUCGAAGAAGAGAGGGGGGAGAGAGAAAGAGAGUUCGCCUCGCGGUUCCCAGAUUUGAGGGCGUUUCACGUUUUUCUAGGGUUUUGGAGUGUGGGAGAGGAGAGAGAUAGAGAUUUGUUUCUAAAGAGAUAAGCAACUGGGGCCCAUUAUAUCUAACAGUAACUGAUUUCUCUGGAGGCUCGAAUUUUGGAGGAGCACCACUCUUCCUCCUCCCUUCCUCUCCCCUUCCUCUCCUUCCUUCGCGUCAAUUUGCUGGUGAUAUGCACUAAUAAAGAAGGCUGGCUCUGUUUGUGCGCGGAGGAUUUGUAAUGUUGAUUUAGGGAUCUGGAAGGGAAAUAAUAAUGCAGCGCUCUCUUUUGGAAAUUAUUAUGGAUGGCCAGAGUGGCGGAGAAAAAUCAAUCUUAGCAUCGAUGAAAUUUGCUGUUCUACCAAUUGCGAAGGUCUUUACCAUGUGCUUUAUGGGAUUUCUGAUGGCCUCCAAGCAUGUCAAUAUUCUUCCUGCAAAUGGCCGGAAGCUUCUUAAUGGGCUAGUCUUUUCUCUUCUUCUUCCUUGCCUGAUAUUCUCUCAACUUGGACGGGCAAUCACUUUGCAAAAAUUGGUAGAGUGGUGGUUUAUCCCUGUUAAUGUCAUUUUGGGAACGAUAUCAGGUUCACUAGUAGGUCUUAUUGUUGCAUCCAUUGUUCGUCCCCCAUAUCCAUACUUCAAGUUCACCAUUAUACAUAUUGGGAUUGGGAACAUUGGAAAUAUACCUCUUGUUCUGAUUGCAGCUCUAUGCCGAGACAAAUCCAACCCCUUUGGUGACUCUAGCAAAUGUAGCCAAGAUGGGAAUGCUUACAUCUCUUUUGGUCAGUGGGUUGGUGCAAUUGUUCUGUACACUUAUGUGUUUCAGAUGCUCGCACCACCACCUGGUGAAACCUUUGAUGGCACAGAAGAGGAGGAUCUUCCAACUAAGAACCCUGUCAACAAUGGUGCACCUGAACAAGUGCCUUUGCUAACUUUUGAAGAGCCUGGAACAACAAGGUUGGAAUCUUCAAAACAAGGAAAACUAAUCAGCCAAUUAUGGUAUCUUGUCGAAAAAUUGAAGUUAAAACAAUUUUUUCAGCCCCCAAUUAUUGCUUCUAUACUGGCAAUCAGUAUUGGUACAGUACCAUUUUUGAAGCACUUCAUCCUCAAGGAUGAUGCUCCACUCUUCUUCUUCACUGACAGCUGCCUCAUUCUUGGGGAAGCCAUGAUUCCAUGUAUUUUGCUCGCUUUGGGUGGUAAUCUUGUUGAUGGUCCAGGUGCAGGGAGUAAAAAGCUUGGAUUUCGAACAACUGCUGCCAUCAUAUUUGGUCGGCUGGUCUUGGUUCCUCCAGCAGGGCUUGGCAUUGUCACUAUGGCUGACAAGCUUGGCUUCAUCCCCAAGGGCGACAAGUUGUUCAAAUUUAUUCUUCUACUGCAGCAUUCAAUGCCUACUUCUGUGCUAUCUGGUGCAGUGGCCAAUUUACGAGGCUGCGGGAAGGAAUCAGCUGCUGUUCUAUUUUGGGUUCACAUUUUUGCUGUUUUCUCCAUGGCUGGAUGGAUUGUUCUUUAUCUAGUCAUACUUUUUUAAAAGCCCUAGUCCCUCAUUGUCAUGGCACUGCUCAAAUCCUUUCCUUUUCUCCCAGUGUUUUGGGAAAAGUGGAUGUGAUUACAAAUACAUCAUUGUUUACUUGCACAAUUGAUGCAUUUUGGGGAAUAGAAGGGCUCCUAAUUUUCUCCAUGUCUCUCAGAAUUGAUUUGUUGUACAAAUAUUUAUUCGGACAGAGUGGAAUCUGUAUCGACAAUUAGACAGAGCCUGGCAAAGGCUGGUGAUCGUCUGAUAGGUGGUAUCAUUUUGCUACAAUAAUUGCAAUGCAUGUGACCUAGGUGUUUCUCUCGGGGUCAGUAAAAUAUCAAGUUACAGUACAUCAUAGAUGCAAGAAAGUUGUUGCUACGGCUAUCUGGUUGUGUCCCGUGGAGAGGCACCUGUCCAUUGGAGGACCCAGCUCAGAUCGAUGUUCGUGCUGACAUUGCUGGUAGAGCAACUGAUAAAGUUCAUGGUCUGUGGAACGGAAGAGGCCGCUGGUUUGAGUUACAGCAGCUAUGCAAUAAAAGGGAUAUUUGCAAAGUGGGCAUGCAUUGUUCUCAACAUCUGCUAGCGAGAUGGCAGCAAGAGUGCCAGUCGGUGGAGCUGGGAAUAAGAUACAGAAUGAUGUAUCCAAAAAAGAAUCUGCGGACAAGCAAAUCACAGACGCGAAAAUCCUUCAUACUCCUGCCAAGUACUUGUGGUUGAAAGACAAUCUUGAGUUUCGGUUCAGGGUGUUGAUGGCACUGGGACUUCUGGUUGGGGCGAAGAUUAUUGUUUUAGAGAAUGGAAAGGUUGUGGAACAGGGUCCCCAUGAAGCUCUCUCGUCAAGGGCAGCAAGAUAUGCACAGUUAUGGGCCCAGCAGAACAACAAUGAUAUCGUAGAUGCUGCUGUCAAAGCAGAAGCUUGAAACUCCCUACACUUGCCAAAUCUACAUGAGGAAUUCUACUCCGUAGGAUCAGAUAAGCAUUUUUUUAAUAAUUUUAUAUGCAUACAAAAUUAUAUGAGCGAGUUUUAAUUCAUUUAUGCAACAUAAGCCAAUGUGCAUCGUGGCAUUCUUCACAGAUCAUUGUAAUCGGUGCUGUCUGAAUGCAGCUAUAAACAUUUUACAAAAUUAUAUGAGCCGAGCUUUAAUUCAUUUAUGUAACAUAA